rnacentral:rRNA from 1 species
UGGGGAAUAUUGGACAAUGGGGGGAACCCUGAUCCAGCAAUGCCGCGUGUGUGAAGAAGGCCUUCGGGUUGUAAAGCACUUUAGGCUGGGAGGAAGUUGUUUUGUUUAAGAGAUGAGACAAUUGACUGUACCGGCAGAAUAAGCACCGGCUAACUCUGUGCCAGCAGCCGCGGUAAUACAGAGGGUGCGAGCGUUAAUCGGAGUUACUGGGCGUAAAGGGCGCGUAGGCGGUCUGUUAAGAUGGUUGUGAAAUCCCUGGGCUUAACCUAGGAACGGCAACCAUGACUGGCAGGCUGGAGUACUGUAGAGGGUAGUGGAAUUUCCGGUGUAGCGGUGAAAUGCGUAGAGAUCGGAAGGAACACCAGUGGCGAAGGCGGCUACCUGGACAGAUACUGACGCUGAGGCGCGAGAGCGUGGGGAGCAAACAGG